AUACGGAGGGUGCAAGCGUUAUCCGGAAUCAUUGGGUUUAAAGGGUCCGUAGGCGGAUAAUUAAGUCAGGGGUGAAAUCCCACAGCUCAACUGUGGCACUGCCUUUGAUACUGGUUAUCUUGAGUUAUCGGGAAGUAGAUAGAAUAUGUAGUGUAGCGGUGAAAUGCAUAGAUAUUACAUAGAAUACCGAUUGCGAAGGCAGUCUACUAUCUGUAUACUGACGCUAAGGGACGAAAGCGUGGGGAGCGAACAGAAUUAGAUACCCUAGUAGUCC
rnacentral:rRNA from 1 species